AUUAGAUACCCUGGGUAGUCCACGCCGUAAACGAUGAAUACUAGGUGUAGGGGUUGUCAUGACCUCUGUGCCGCCGCUAACGCAUUAAGUAUUCCGCCUGGGGAGUACGGUCGCAAGAUUAAAACUCAAAGGAAUUGACGGGGGCCCGCACAAGCAGCGGAGCAUGUGGUUUAAUUCGAAGCAACGCGAAGAACCUUACCUAGACUUGACAUCUCCUGCAUUACCCUUAAUCGGGGAAGUUCCUUCGGGGACAGGAAGACAGGUGGUGCAUGGUUGUCGUCAGCUCGUGUCGUGAGAUGUUGGGUUAAGUCCCGCAACGAGCGCAACCCUUACCUUUAGUUGCUACGCAAGAGCACUCUAGAGGGACUGCCGUUGACAAAACGGAGGAAGGUGGGGAUGACGUCAAAUCAUCAUGCCCCUUAUGACCUGGGCUACACACGUACUACAAUGGCAAUUAACAGAGGGAAGCAAAACAGCGAUGUGGAGCAAAUCCCGAAAAAUUGUCUCAGUUCGGAUUGUAGUCUGCAACCCGACUACAUGAAGCUGGAAUCGCUAGUAAUCGCGGAUCAGAAUGCCGCGGUGAAUACGUUCCCGGGUCUUGUACACACCGCCCGUCACACCAUGGGAGUCGGAAAUGCCCGAAGCCGGUGACCUAACCUUUCAGGAAGGAGCCGUCGAAGGCAGGUCUGAUAACUGGGGUGAAGUCGUAACAAGGUACC
rnacentral:rRNA from 1 species